GGAACCAUGUGUUUGGUAAGCAAGCUACUUACCACAGAGCCACUCCUAUGCCUUGGACAUGAAUAAUACAACUGUCAACAGUCCAGUCCAGUCUACUUAGCCGUCAGUAGGUACCACCGUGUGGUAUAGUUCACUGCAUGGCAUCCAUUAUGUAACUCUAGGCCAGACCUGUGACCAUCCUGUCUUUUAUUCAGACAUAGUGCAUCUAGGACUACAUCAUCUAAUGUGUUCUUUCUUGUUGUUUACCCCGAUGAAAGAUAUUCCAACCAUGACCAACACACCAUAUUGUCCAUGUCCAAGAACACAUUAUUCAGUUGCCUUCUUUUCCUUUAUGCAUUAUAAGGCAUUUGAGAAAUAUUUGGCUACUAUUUCAAGCAUAAAUAUCAGGUGACCAAAAAAAAGGGGAGGGGGGUCAUGGAACACCUUUUUUUUCUUAGUUUAUCAUCAACAUCGAAAUCAAAUUUGCUUAAAAAAAAAAUCAAUAUUUUUUUUCCAUCAAUAAAAAAA
rnacentral:lncRNA from 1 species